AAGCAAAUACAUAAGGAGACUGACGUUUUUUAGGCAUCAUAUCCGGACUUUUCUGGUGUAAACAACGACAGUUGCGUCAGCAGAACAUUGAAGAAAAGCUGAUUAGUCAUGGAGGAAGAAGAUCCCUCUCAAGAAAGUAUUGCAGUGAUGAAGUCAGAUGAGAUGACAGGUUGUGUGAUUUGAAGAUGGACUUCUGCAAC